rnacentral:rRNA from 1 species
UACGUAGGGGGCAAGCGUUGUCCGGAUUUAUUGGGCGUAAAGAGCGUGUAGGCGGCCAGGUAGGUCUGCUGUGAAAACUCGAGGCUCAACCUCGAGACGUCGGCGGAAACCAUCUGGCAUAGAGUCCGGAAGAGGAGAGUGGAAUUCCUGGUGUAGCGGUGAAAUGCGCAGAUAUCAGGAGGAACACCAAUGGCGAAAGCAGAUCUCUGGGCCGUAACUGACGCUGAGGAGCGAAAGCAUGGGGAGCGAACAGG